rfam:Aedes albopictus isolate Foshan contig137968, whole genome shotgun sequence.
UGCCCAGCAACUCCUAUCCCUACCUCCACGCGGUACCGGCCGGAAACUAUGAGCAAUCCUUAGGGAAGAUCGGGUAACCAACCCCGGUGGGAACUUUGGUCGUAGGCUGACAGGGAAGG